UGGGCACAGCCCCAAUCAAAACUGGAACUGAUAGAAAUGAAGCCGAGAUGGAGUGCAAAUGUCCCCUGCUCCAGAUACAGUCAGUUCUGCUGCAAAACAUCCAUCCACCUGCUCCCCUUUACCGAACACAUUUCCCCCUGUCUGUUCUGAGCAGAAGAGACGUAUUUGGGACACUCAUUACCCUCAUAGUAAAAAGAGGUCAGAGCAACUUAAAGAAGUAGACAUACAUUUUAUUUACUUGUUCUGUACAUAAAGGGCCAUACCAGGACAGGUGUUAACCAUGGGAAAUAUUAAGACAUGUAAAUGGUAUAAGAAAAUAAAAAGGCACAAUUUUUUAUUUUGAAUUAAGACAACACGGAGGCACUCUAAAACAUGAGGGAAAAAACAGUAAUACUGUUAAUGCCUUUACAAAGCACGUUGAUAAAAAAUAUGUUUACCCAACUAAAACGUAAAUUAAAAUUGGUGUAUUGCUUAAUCAGAGGGUUUAAUAUGGAGGUUGCACAAGGAAAACCAAACUACAUUUGAAUGGAUUGAUUCCACAGAUGCCAUAAAAACAAGUCUAAUUCAUAUUUUAAUGAGGAAAUUGUCAAUGAGACAAAGCAGCAUUUGACCUGGGAGAGGCCAAGAGGUCAUGCACAGAGGCCACCAGCAGGCAUUUUUUUCCCUUUAAAAAGUCACCUUCAGUCUAAUUGUUUACAAGGUUAUUAAAACAAAUAUUAAAUGCUCAAUUCAACAGUUGGCUAACAAAAAAACACUACAGUCAGGACAUGAUUGAUAGUUGUACAAUGGUAUUACUCUACCCAAUGAAAAAGCUCAGGGGGAUUGAUGGGCAAGCUCUAGGGAAGAGACAACAGGAAGGGUAAGUCUUCUUUACAGCAGAGAUCUAAUGAAGCACUUUAUCAGCACACUCACACUAAGACCAGAGAGCAGGACAGCUCUGGCAUCACAAUGUCAGUCAGACAUAACCAAAGACAACCAAGUUUUCUUCUCAGGUCCUGUGCUUGACAGUCAACACUGGCUAGAGAUGAGAGUCAGGGGUGUAACCAAUCACCACCUUAGGGAACCUGGGGAGGAAACAGGGAAGGAUUGCUUGUACUAAAGUUGCAUUUUUCAGUGAAAGGCAUUGAUGGGUUGUCAUUGGCUGGCUGCAACCUUUGCCCACCUCCUGUGACCCAUAUCAUUGGAUGCAUGAGGCAUCCGUCUCAUAGAAAAGCCCUUACCCCUCAACAGCAUUUAUAAGUCCUCUUACAACAUUGGCUAUAGCCUGGUCACAGUCAUGCACUUAUACUACGACAAAUGCCUCGCUCAGCACUCCUGAAUUUAUGGCACAAAUUAAACAAAAUAUGUCUUCACAUAUGGCCAUUUCACAUGUAGUCUGGGGAAAACAUAAAUAACGAAACUGUCAACUAGGUCUGUGUCACUGAGGCUAUGGGCUAUUCCACAAGGCAGAAUCCAUGUGGGCUUGAACUCCUGUCAACCUCUCCCUUGUCCUCCUGCCCAAGUCAGCUCAGCUUGUGUCAGACAAGAGAGACUGAUCCACACACACACACACACACACACACACACACACACACACACACACACACACACACACACACACA
rnacentral:lncRNA from 1 species